rnacentral:rRNA from 1 species
AGCAGCCGCGGUAAUUCCAGCUCCAAUAGCGUAUAUUAAAGUUGUUGCAGUUAAAAAGCUCGUAGUUGAAUUUCGGGGUUAGUAGGUUGGUCAUGCCUCUGGUAUGUACUGGUCUCACUGAUUCCUCCUUCCUGAUGAGCCGUAAUGCCAUUAAUUUGGUGUUGCGGGGAAUUUGGACUGUUACUUUGAAAAAUUAGAGUGUUUAAAGCAAGCUCGCGCUUGAAUACAUUAGCAUGGAAUAAUGAAAUAGGACGUUUGAUUCUAUUUUGUUGGUUUCUAGGAUCGACGUAAUGAUUAAUAGGGAUAGUUGGGGGCAUUAGUAUUCAAUUGUCAGAGGUGAAAUUCUUGGAUUUAUUGAAGACUAACUACUGCGAAAGCAUUUGCCAAGGAUGUUUUCAUUAAUCAAGAACGAAAGUUAGGGGAUCGAAGACGAUCAGAUACCGUCGUAGUCUUAACCAUAAACUAAUGCCGACUA